ensembl:processed_transcript
GUGGACACAACUUCUGUAAGAGCUGCCUGAACCAGUGCUGGAACAACAGUCAGACCUACAACUGUCCAUUCUGUAAAGAAACAUUCAAUAAAAAGCCAGAGCUCAAGAUCAACACAACACUCAGACAGCUUGUGCAAGUCUUCAAGCAAAACGUUCCUGAGAAAACAUCUGAAGUUCUCUGUGACAUUUGUGAUGGUGUUAAGAAGAAAGCCCUGAAGAUCUGUCUGCUGUGUCAAAAUGCUUACUGUCAAACUCACCUGGAUCUUCAUCAGAAAGUUACAAAUUUAAAACACAAAUUAAUUGAUCCUGUGUUGAAUCUUGAGAACUAUAUAUGUCAGAAACAUGAGAAACCUCUGGAGCUGUUCUGUAAAGAUGAUCAGACAUGUGUGUGUUUGCUCUGCGCUGUGACAAAUCACAGGAAUCACAACACUGUUGCUGUAGAAGAGGAGAGUGGUGUAAGAAGGUCUCAGAUGAUGGAGAUGCAUGCAGAUAUGAAGCAGAUGAUCCACGACAGAAUGAAGAAAAUUCAAGACAUCAAACACUCAGCACUCUUGAAAAAAGAAACAUCAGAGAAAGAGAAGGCUGAGAGCACUGAGCUCUUUGCUGAUCUAAUGAGCUGCAUUGAGAGAUGUCAGUCUGAGCUGCUGGAGAUGAUGGAGCAGAAGCAGAAAGCAGCAGAGAAGCAGGCUGAAGAGCUGAUUAAAGAUCUGGAGCAGGAGAUCACUGAGCUGAAGAGGAGAGACGCUGAGCUGGAGCAGAUCUCACACACUGAGGAUCACCUGCACCUCCUACAGAUUUAACCAGAGCUGAGCAAACCUCCACACACCAGCAGCUAGACUCAAAUCAGUAUCAGUGACACUCAGCUGAGUGUAGAUACUCUGAGGAAAACUCUCCUUCAGCUACACGACACUUUGGAUUACAAACUCAGCACAAGUGUGCUGAAAAAGAUGCAGCAACAUUUGGUGGAUGUGACUCUGGAUCCUGAUACAGCUCAUCCAGAUCUUAUCAUCUCCGAUAAUGAAAAACAAGUGACAGAUGGAGAUAUUGAGCUUGAACUCUUAGACAACCCUGGGAGAUUUGACACUUGCCCAUGUGUCCUGGCAAAAGAGGGGUUCAACUCAGGGAUAUUUUAUUUUGAAGUGCAGGUAAAAGAAAAGACUGAUUGGAAUUUAGGAGUGGUCAGAGAAUCCAUUAAGCGGAAGGGAGAUAUUACAGCUGCACCUGAGGAAGGAUACUGGAUUAUAGUUUUGGGGAAUGGGAAUCAGUAUCUUGCAAUUGAUUC